GAUGAACGCUGGCGGCGUGCCUAAUACAUGCAAGUCGAGCGAACAGACGCGGAGCUUGCUCCUUCGACGUUAGCGGCGGACGGGUGAGUAACACGUAGGUAACCUACCUAUAAGACUGGGAUAACUCCGGGAAACCGGAGCUAAUACCGGAUAAUAUUUCGAACCACAUGGUUCGAUAGUGAAAGAUGGCUUUGCUAUCACUUAUAGAUGGACCUGCGCCGUAUUAGCUAGUUGGUAAGGUAACGGCUUACCAAGGCAACGAUACGUAGCCGACCUGAGAGGGUGAUCGGCCACACUGGAACUGAGACACGGUCCAGACUCCUACGGGAGGCAGCAGUAGGGAACCUUCCGCAAUGGGCGAAAGCCUGACGGAGCAACGCCGCGUGAGUGAUGAAGGUCUUCGGAUCGUAAAACUCUGUUAUUAGGGAAGAACAAACGUGUAAGUAACUGUGCACGUCUUGACGGUACCUAAUCAGAAAGCCACGGCUAACUACGUG
rnacentral:rRNA from 1 species